GACCGAGAGACUAACCUUGCUGAUGUGUGUCUUUAGUGCUUCUAGAUGUCUGGGACGCUCGCUUCUUCGUGGUUGAUACACUCGUUUCUCCACAAUUGAGGUUGUUCGCUCACUGUUCUAAAAGUCACUCGUGCUCCUUCGGCUUUUACCGCUCGUCCUCCUUCACCAGCAAAGGGGGAUGUACCUGCAAAAGGCACUCCGACGCUCAAGUUAGGCAUAGAUUGUAAAGCUUUGGCUCUUUUAGAAAGCGACUUUGUUAUCACUAUAGAGUAUUUUCGAGUGCGAGUGAAGCGUACCUGGUGAUGGGUGUCGCCGCCCAAUCAAAUUUGAUUGCAUAAUAAGAAAUGCAGUAUAGCUAGAGAAUGACCCUAGGUCGUCUCUCAAGGACCAACUACGGUUCAGAAUCAAGUCAAACAUGAAGGGGGUUGUGAAAUUGGUUUUGUUUGUGAAUGCAACUGACAAAAUUAAAAAAAUAAAAAUUAAACACAUUUGAAUAUCAUAAAAAGCGUUAAAGAGAGUAAAAAUGCUAAACCCAAUACUAGACUAAACAAAUAUCUAAACAUAGUUAAAUUAAAUUAAAUACAAAACUAAAUUAAAGAAAUUAAAAACAACUCAACCUACAUUUC
rnacentral:lncRNA from 1 species